rnacentral:ncRNA from 2 species
AGACAACAUAUUGCUCCUACUCGUAUAAUUUUGAGAAUAUGGCUCAAGAGUCUCUACCGGGCAACCGUAAAUUGCCCGACUACGAGUGAAAGUGUACCUAGG